rnacentral:rRNA from 1 species
UUUGACCGUGAGAAGGUAGCGCAAUCACUUGUCCUUUAAAUGAGGACCUGUAAGAAUGGCAUAACGAGGGCUAAACUGUCUCCCCCCUCCAGUCAAUGAAAUUGAUCUCCCCGUGCAGAAGCGGGGAUAACCCCAUAAGACGAGAAGACCCUAUGGAGCUUUAGACAUCAAAUAGCCCAUAACAAACAACUCUAAUCAACGAGUACUAAUGCAUAUGAGCCCUCUAUUGUUAUGUCUUUGGUUGGGGCGACCGUGGGGUAAAGAAAAACCCCCAUGAGGACCGGGGAAAUUUCCCCAAAACCAAGAGCCACAGCUCUAAGUAUCAGAACCUCUGACCUAAAUGAUCCGGUUAACACCGAUCAACGGACCGAGUUACCCUAGGGAUAACAGCGCAAUCCCCUCCCAGAGCCCCUAUCGACGAGAGGGUUUACGACCUCGAUGUUGGAUCAGGACAUCCUAAUGGUGCAGCCGCUAUUAAGGGUUCGUUUGUUCAACGAUUAAAGUCCU